UAAUCAGGCACAUUGAUUUGAAUAAUGAAAAAGGCCACUUUGUCAUUAAAUAUUGCCAAGAAUGUGGUCACCUUUUGUGUAUACCUUUUAGGGUUCAGUUGUUUCCAACCCUUCAUCUCUCUGUCUCAUCCUCCUCAUUACACUCAUCAGUAGUGUGUUUUUAUGACUGGGCUGGUUGGUGUGUACGCUUGUCUGUGAAAUGAUGAAUGGGCUGUGGGGUGUGUGUGUGUGAGAGAGUGAGAGAGAGAGAGAGAGAAAGGGAGGGAUGGAGAGACACUGCAUCGUGAAAUGAGAAGGAUUCACUCACUGGCUGCUCAUCUUCGCAGACAGAUAAGGAGAAGGCUGCUUGGGUAGAUUGGCAGAUUGUGUUUGAGGAGACACUCAGUCUGAGCUCAAGGCUAAAUCAUGGAUCAGAAGUCCACUUCACCCCAGAGACACACGGUGAAAAGCAGGUCGAAGUCUACAGAGGAAGUCCAGCAAGCUAAAAAGGCCUUCCACAUACCCCAGAAAUCACUGCCUGGAUGGUCAGAGUUGGAAAAGGUGAAGGAAGGACCAGAAGAGAAUGUCACUCCAGCAUCAUCCACAGAAGAGCUGAAGUGAUGCUGCCAUUAAUCUGUGUUUCUCUCUCACACAAACACACACAUAAAGAUAAAUGCUUGUUUUUUUUUAUAAACAAGGUUUGGUCUAGUUAAAGCAUUCGCUCUUCCUUUUGUUGGAUGAUUUUCAGUACAGCUCAACACACGCAGAAACACGAAACCCAUCGACCUGCAGCACAUUCAGUCUGUCUGUGCUGCAUCUCUGUACACUGUACACUGACAUGCUGUUUAUAUAAACUCAAUGCUUUCACUAUGAACAUCAGGGCAUGUGUGCUUUUACAUUUAAAGAAGCUCAAGCUAAAUUAGAUCAGUGGUCAGUGCAAUAUAAAAUUAUAGGCUCAAUGAAAUUCAAAUUUGGAACUUUGUGGCUUUUUAGUCUAUAGCUUUGAGCUCAUCCAUAGUGUAGAGUACACACAUUUAAAAUUUACAGCUUUUUCUUGGAAGAUAUAAAAAUGCUGAUGACUUUUCUUUUUUAGGUCCAUAUAUAAAUUUGUCCAAAUAAAUGCUCUCUAGAAAUGUAUGGCCCGGUUUCAC